GACGAACGCUGGCGGCGUGCUUAAUACAUGCAAGUCGAACGGAAAGGCCCUGCUUUUGUGGGGUGCUCGAGUGGCGAACGGGUGAGUAACACGUGAGUAACCCGCCCCUGACUUUGGGAUAACUUCAGGAAACUGGGGCUAAUACCGGAUAGGAGCUCUUGCUGCACGGUGGGGGUUGGAAAGUUUCGGCGGUUGGGGAUGGACUCGCGGCUUAUCAGCUUGUUGGUGGGGUAGGGGCUUACCAAGGCUUUGAAGGGUAGCCGGCCUGAGAGGGUGACCGGCCACAAUGGUACUGCGAUACGGCCCAGAAUCCUACGGGAGGCAGCAGUGGGGAAUAUUGCACAAUGGGCGGAAGCCUGAUGCAGCAACGCCGCGUGCGGGAUGACGGCCUUCGGGUUGUAAACCGCUUUCGCCUGUGACGAAGCGUGAGUGACGGUAAUGGGUAAAGAAGCACCGGCUAACUACGUG
rnacentral:rRNA from 1 species